rnacentral:rRNA from 1 species
GACGAACGCUGGCGGCGUGCUUAACACAUGCAAGUCGAGCGGUAAGGCCCUUUCGGGGGUACGACGAGCGGCGAACGGGUGAGUAACACGUGGGUGACCUGCCCUCAGCUCUGGGAUAAGCCCGGGAAACUGGGUCUAAUACUGGAUAUGACUCCACGGUGCAUGCCGUGGGGUGGAAAGCCUUGUGCGGCUGAGGAUGGGCCCGCGGCCUAUCAGCUUGUUGGUGGGGUGAUGGCCUACCAAGGCGACGACGGUAGCCGGCCUGAGAGGGCGACCGGCCACACUGGGACUGAGACACGGCCCAGACUCCUACGGGAGGCAGCAGUGGGGAAUCUUGCGCAAUGGGCGAAAGCCUGACGCAGCGACGCCGCGUGAGGGAUGACGGCCUGGU